AGAAUCAACGCUGGCGGCGUGCCUAACACAUGCAAGUCGAACGAGAAAGUGGAGCAAUCCAUGAGUAAAGUGGCGACCGGGUGAGUAACACGUGACUAACCUACCCUAAAGUGGGGAAUAACUCCGGGAAACCGGGGCUAAUACCGCAUAAAAUCGUCGUUUCUAAAGAAGUGACGAUCAAAGCAGCAAUGCGCUAUGGGAGGGGGUCGCGGCUGAUUAGCUAGUUGGCGGGGUAAUGGCCCACCAAGGCGAAGAUCGGUAUCCGGCCUGAGAGGGCGCACGGACACACUGGAACUGAAACACGGUCCAGACUCCUACGGGAGGCAGCAGUGGGGAAUUUUGCGCAAUGGGGGAAACCCUGACGCAGCAACGCCGCGUGGAGGAUGAAGCCCCUUGGGGUGUAAACUCCUUUCGACCAAGACGAUAAUGACGGUACUGGUGGAAGAGCACCGGCUAACUCUGCGCCAGCAGCCGC
rnacentral:rRNA from 1 species